rnacentral:rRNA from 1 species
GAUGAACGCUAGCUACAGGCUUAACACAUGCAAGUCGAGGGGUAACGAGAGGAAAGCUUGCUUUCCUUGUCGACGACCGGCGCACGGGUGAGUAACGCGUAUCCAACCUGCCCCCAACUAGGGAAUAACCUUGCGAAAGUAAGACUAAUACCCUGUAAUUUCCUCAGAUGUCAUCUGACGAGGAAUAAAGAUUUAUCGGUUGUGGAUGGGGAUGCGUCUGAUUAGCUUGUUGGCGGGGUAACGGCCCACCAAGGCAACGAUCAGUAGGGGUUCUGAGAGGAAGGUCCCCCACAGUGGAACUGAGACACGGUCCAAACUCCUACGGGAGGCAGCAGUGAGGAAUAGUGGUCAAUGGGCGGAAGCCUGGACCAGCCAAGUAGCGUGCAGGAUGACGGCCCUAUGGGUUGUAAACUGCUUUUAUACAGGAAUAAAGUUAGCCACGUGUGGUUAUUUGUAGGUACUGUAUGAAUAAGGACCGGCUAAUUCCGUGCCAGCCGCCGCGGUAACAC